rnacentral:rRNA from 1 species
CACGUAGGGGGCAAGCGUUGUCCGGAUUUAUUGGGCGUAAAGAGCUCGUAGGUGGUUCGGUAAGUCGGGUGUGAAAACUCUGGGCUCAACUCAGAGACGCCACCCGAUACUGCUGUGACUCGAGUCUGGUAGGGGAGUGUGGAAUUCCCAGUGUAGCGGUGAAAUGCGCAGAUAUUGGGAGGAACACCGGUGGCGAAGGCGGGUCUCUGGGCCGAUACUGACGCUGAGGAGCGAAAGCGUGGGGAGCGAACAGG